AGCUCCUUUGAUGACAUCUUCGAAGGAGGAAAGGUGGCCUCUGAAAAUGCUACCGGCACAGGAUGGACCCGCGUCUGAUUAGAUAGUUGGUGAGGUAACGGCUCACCAAGUCGACGAUCAGUAGCCGGCCUGAGAGGGUGGCCGGCCACAUUGGGACUGAGACACGGCCCAGACUCCUACGGGAGGCAGCAGUGGGGAAUCUUCCGCAAUGGGCGCAAGCCUGACGGAGCAACGCCGCGUGAGUGAAGAAGGCCUUCGGGUCGUAAAGCUCUGUCUUAAGGGAAGAACAACAGUAGUGAAAACAUUGCUAUUGUCUGACGGUACCUUAGGAGGAAGCUCCGGCUAACUACGUGCCAGCAGCCGCGGUAAUACGUAGGGAGCGAGCGUUGUCCGGAAUUACUGGGCGUAAAGGGCGUGUAGGCGGAGAUCUAAGCAGGGUGUGAAAACUAUGGGCUCAACCCGUAGCCUGCAUUCUGAACUGGAUCCCUUGAGGGCAGGAGAGGAAAGUGGAAUUCCUAGUGUAGCGGUGAAAUGCGUAGAUAUUAGGAGGAACACCAGUGGCGAAGGCGACUUUCUGGAC
rnacentral:rRNA from 1 species